rnacentral:rRNA from 1 species
CUUUUCGGAGCUAAGUGGCGGACGGGUGAGUAACGCGUGAGAAUCUACCUUUUGGAGGGGGACAACACUGGGAAACCAAUGCUAAGACCCCAUAGGCUGAAAAGUGAAAAACGAAAGUUGCCAAGAGAGGAGCUCGCGUCUGAUUAGCUAGUUGGUAGUGUAAAAGACAACCAAGGCGACGAUCAGUAGCUGGUCUGAGAGGACGAACAGCCACACUGGGACUGAGACACGGCCCAG